rnacentral:rRNA from 1 species
GAUGAACGCUAGCGGGAGGCCUAACACAUGCAAGCCGAGCGGUAGAGUUUCUUCGGAAACUUGAGAGCGGCGCACGGGUGCGUAACACGUGUGCAACCUACCUUUAUCUGGGGGAUAGCCUUUCGAAAGGAAGAUUAAUACCCCAUAAUAUAAUGAUUGGCAUCAAUUAUUAUUGAAAACUCCGGUGGAUAGAGAUGGGCACGCGCAAGAUUAGAUAGUUGGUGAGGUAACGGCUCACCAAGUCAAUGAUCUUUAGGGGUCCUGAGAGGGAGAUCCCCCACACUGGUACUGAGACACGGACCAGACUCCUACGGGAGGCAGCAGUGAGGAAUAUUGGACAAUGGGCGAGAGCCUGAUCCAGCCAUCCCGCGUGAAGGAUGACGGUCCUAUGGAUUGUAAACUUCUUUUGGACAGGGAUAAACCUACCCUCGUGAGGGUAGCUGAAGGUACUGUACGAAUAAGCACCGGCUAACUCCGUG